CCUACGGGAGGCAGCAGUGAGGAAUAUUGGUCAAUGGACGCAAGUCUGAACCAGCCAUGCCGCGUGCAGGAUGACGGCUCUAUGAGUUGUAAACUGCUUUUGUACGAGGGUAAACCCCGAUACGUGUAUCGGGUUGAAAGUAUCGUACGAAUAAGGAUCGGCUAACUCCGUGCCAGCAGCCGCGGUAAUACGGAGGAUCCGAGCGUUAUCCGGAUUUAUUGGGUUUAAAGGGUGCGGAGGCGGUUUGAUAAGUUAGAGGGUAAAUGUCGGGGCUCAACCCCCAAACUGCCUCUAAUACGGUUGGACAAGGGAAGUGGUGCGGGAGGGGGAAUGGAUGGUGGAGCGGGGAAA
rnacentral:rRNA from 1 species